rnacentral:rRNA from 1 species
UGGGGAAUUUUGGACAAUGGGCGAAAGCCUGAUCCAGCAAUGCCGCGUGUGUGAAGAAGGCCUUCGGGUUGUAAAGCACUUUUGUCCGGAAAGAAAUGGCUCUGGUUAAUACCUGGGGUCGAUGACGGUACCGGAAGAAUAAGGACCGGCUAACUACGUGCCAGCAGCCGCGGUAAUACGUAGGGUCGAAGCGUUAAUCGGAAUUACUGGGCGUAAAGCGGGCGCAGGCGGUUGUGCAAGACCGAUGUGAAAUCCCCGGGCUUAACUUGGGAAAUGCCUUGGUGACUGCGCGGCUAGAGUGUGUCAGAGGGGGGUAGAAUUCCCCGUGUAGCAGUGAAAUGCGUAGAGAUGUGGAAGAAUACCGAUGGCGAAGGCAGCCCCCUGGGAUAACACUGACGCUCAUGCACGAAAGCGUGGGGAGCAAACAGG